UACUGCUAUAUUUCGUUUCUUUUCAUUUUCUGUGUAUUUUCAUUAUUAUUACCGUUGAGUGCCACCAGGGGGCGCUAUAGUGUAAGUGAGCUUUGUAAGAAGAAGUAGAGGUUAGUUUCCGCCGAAGAAGCGAUCUCUCGAGAGAUCGAAAGAUGCGUGACUGAAGCGUGGUCACAAAGCUAAGUUGUUAAGAGAGUUAAGAAACAAUAAGAAGAAGAAGACGACUGAAACUAAUUCCUCUCUCGGUACUCAGCCAACGAGUUUUCACGGUGUGUUUAUGAGUCUGAACAAGCUGGAUUCAAUAAAUCCAUCAGUUGAGAAAGCCA